rnacentral:rRNA from 1 species
GACGUAGGGGGCGAGCGUUGUCCGGAUUUAUUGGGCGUAAAGCGUGCGUAGGCGGCUGCGCAAGUCGGGUGUGAAACCCCGGGGCUCAACCCCGGAACUGCAUCCGAUACUGCGUGGCUAGAGGUAGGUAGGGGAGAUCGGAAUUCCUGGUGUAGCGGUGGAAUGCGUAGAUAUCGGGAAGAACACCAGUGGCGAAGGCGUUCUGCUGGGCCGUUGCUGACACUGGAGGCGCGACAGCGUGGGGAGCAAACAGG